CAGGAGAGAAGCCCUCGAGCUUUCGUCGGUGCUGGUGCUGCCGCCACUGCCGCCACCGCCGGGAAUCACACGGGCUCCUCGGUCCCAGGCUGCAGCUCUUGUUGCCAUGAUGAUGAUGUCACGGACGCAACCACUGGGGGGAGGGGAGAGGGGGGUGUGUGUGGCGAAGGGAGGCUGCGAGUAGUGCGGGGGAGGGGGCUCGGCGGGAAAAGGAGCGAGAGGGCGGGCGCCCGGGCGGGACACGGAGGGCGGGGGCCGAGAAGGGGCUUUCUCCCCCUCCCCGGGCACGCGGCGAGGGAGGCGGCCGGCGGCCGGCAGCGCCCGCGCGGGAUCGAUGACUCGGCUGGCGGGCACGGUCACCUGGGUGAGGGGCAGCGGAAGGGGCGGCGGAGCACCGAUCUCAUGGAUGGGCUCCGAGGGGCUUGCGGGAGGGGGGCGCCAGUGUUCGGGGCCGUUUUGGCGGCUAUGCAGGAUUGGCAGGAGCUGCGAUGCUCACACUUGCCUCGCCGACCGCCAUUUCACAUCCAGCAGAGGAGGCGGGGGCAGCCGCUGAGACGGUUUUUCACAAGUAUUCCCACGAGCAUUCUGCUGAGAUGAACAAUCAGAUGACCUCGUGUGAGAUUUGGAGGAGAGAAGGAAAUGGAGAGCAUGCGUCUGCCGCUUCUGUGGUUUCUGUCGGCUUUCUCCAUAUUUACGUGCUUGUAACUCUGGCAUGACCUUUGCUCCAGUCUCUACCAGAGGGCGGUGCCUGGAUUGAAGUGGAAAAGCCCUGUUUUCCAGCCAUGACCCAGGGAGCAAGCACUGACUCCUCAGGGGAACAGGAGACCUGCCAACUAGGACCCUGGGAGCCCCCAUGCUGGCAGUGCCCUGGGUCAUCUCAGGCUCAUCAGCAAAUCCUGGGGGGAGAGCGGGGCUGGAGGGCGAAGAAGCCCAGGAGAGUUCCUGGCUCAGAACCCCUCUCUGAGGCUCCCAAUACAGAGCCCAGGCCCCACACCCAGGGCCUCUGAGUAUUUUUGUUUAUUGUAUGUAAAAUACUAGUGUAUUUUUGUUUAAGUCUCACAGGUAAACAGGUUCUCUCAUACUUUGCCAAGGGAAAUGUGAUCUGUGCAAUUUGGCAAUAACUAUCAGAAUUUUAAAAGCUUAUGCCCUUUGACCUAGUAAUUUCACUUCUAAGAAUUUCCCCUGCAGAGAUAUGUAUAUCUUGUAUGAAAUGAAGAGGCUACGAAGACAGGCAACGCCGCAGUGUUUAUAAUAGCGAAGACCAGACACAACCCACAUGUCUAAAGGUUCUGAUUUUUAAAACUGUAGUAUAUCUGUACAAUGAGCACUCCACAUCCUUUAAGAAUGAGGAAGGGCUGUGUGAACUGAAAUGGAACUAUCUCUAAGAUUUAUUAAGUUAAAAAAAUUCAAGAGUAGCACAGUGUGUAGGGUAUGCCAUCAUUUGUAUGAUAUAAGGUCGUAUAUCUGCCAUCUCAAAUGAGGAACAGUGGUUGCCUCUGGGAAGGGAAUUGGAUGGCUAGGAAUGGGGUAGGAAAGAGGUUUGCUUUUCAGAACAUUUUAUACUAUUUAAGUUUUGUAACAAGUGCAUCUA
rnacentral:lncRNA from 1 species